AAUACGUUCCCGGGCCUUGUACACACCGCCCGUCACACCAUGGGAGUGGGUUGCAAAAGAAGUAGGUAGCUUAACCUUCGGGAGGGCGCUUACCACUUUGUGACUUCAUGACUGGGGAUAGAAGUCGUUAACAGGUGGUAACCGUAGGGAAGGAACUGCGGUUGGAUCACCUCCUUA
rnacentral:rRNA from 1 species